rnacentral:rRNA from 1 species
UACAGAGGUGGCAAGCGUUGUUCGGAAUUACUGGGCGUAAAGGGCGCGUAGGCGGUUCGUUAAGUCCUGUGUGAAAUCCCCCCGGCUCAACUGGGGAACUGCACAGGAAACUAGCGGGCUUGAGUUCGGGAGAGGGAAGCGGAAUUCCGGGUGUAGCGGUGAAAUGCGUAGAUAUCCGGAGGAACACCGGUGGCGAAGGCGGCUUCCUGGACCGACACUGACGCUGAGGCGCGAAA